UACAGGUAUCUCUUUAUCUUUUUAAUCUAUGUGGUUGGUGGUGGUAGAUAUGUGUAUCUAAAAAGUUUGUAAAGUUUGAUCCUGUCUAAUGGUUUAAUCUUUCUUAAAUUAAUAUGCAAACUUUCUCUUUAGGAUUACAAGUGCAGUUGUUAGUUUUAUAUUUUAUUGUUAUAGAUUUAGUUAAAGAAGAAGAGACGAGCUAAUCUUGUGCCAGCAGCUGCGGUCAUACAAGAAUGUUGGAUUAAACCUUUUAAGUUAAUUUUCUUAUUCUUUUGGAGUAAUAUUGUGUUUUUAAAGGGUGAAAUCUAGAGAUAAUAUGUACUUUUCCUUAUGAUCUGAUCUAUGUCUUUGAAGUAACUGGGAUUAGAUACCCCACUAUCUUGUUUUUAUUCUUUCUUGGGUAGUAUUUUAAAAACCUAAAGGAUUUGGCGGUUUUUAAACCUACUAGGGGAACCUGUCCUUUAAUCGAUAGUCCACGUACUGAUGUACUCUAUCUUGUACACAGCAUAUAUACCGCCGUCUAGGGGAAUGUACUAACAUUUCCUCUUAAUAAAUGAGUUUUAAUAAGUCAGGUCAAGGUGUAGCUUAUGGUAGAGUAGAGAUGGGUUACAAUAAUUUAUUAUAUGGAAAAUAUUAUUUAAUUGUUAUUCGAAGGUGGACUUAGAAGUAAAUUUUAUUACUUUGAAGUAGGCUCUUGGGAAUGUACACAUCGCCCGUCGCUCUCUUGUCUGAAGAGAUAAGUCGUAACAAAGUAGGUAUACUGGAAGGUAUGUCUAGACAGAU
rnacentral:ncRNA from 1 species